rnacentral:rRNA from 1 species
CCCUAUGGGGUGCACCAGGAAAUUGAAGAAGGCAUGGCAGUCCAGGUAUUCCAUGACCUCGCGGCAGAGCUCGUUGACGAGAUGCUGGGGAUCGUCCGUUUCCAGGAGGCGCCCGGCUGUUUCCGAGAGCAGUCGAAACCGCGCCUCGUUGUCUCGCAGGGUACGUUCAGCCCGCUUGCGGGCGGUGAUAUCGCGCAAGGUAAUCUGGAUAGCAGCUUUUCCUCUGAACUCGAUCCGCGAGCCCGUGACCUCGACCUCAACCGGCUGGCCGUUCAGACGGAGGACCGUCGCUUCCUCCGAAAGCGUUACCGCGCCGCCGUAGAGAUCUGCGAUCCGUUCCGUAACAAACUGACGCUGGUCAUGGGGGAUAAAGUCCAUGACAUCCCUCUCGACGAUUUCCUCGGGAGAGC